rnacentral:rRNA from 1 species
UACAGAGGGUGCGAGCGUUUGUCCGGAAUUACUGGGCGUAAAGAGCUCGUAGGUGGUUUGUCGCGUUGUUCGUGAAAACUCACAGCUUAACUGUGGGCGUGCGGGCGAUACGGGCAGACUGGAGUACUGCAGGGGAGACUGGAAUUCCUGGUGUAGCAGUGAAAUGCGUAGAUAUCAGGAGGAACACCGAUGGCGAAGGCAGGUCUCUGGGCUGACACUGACGCUCAUGCACGAAAGCGUGGGGAGCAAACAGG